rnacentral:rRNA from 16 species
AUGCAUACCUACGUUUACUUUGCUAUUGAAAUUGGAACUGGAAAGGCUCGUUAAAGAGGACGUCGUAUCUUUAUCCUGGUCUUCCUUUCGGUUCUUUCUUUUCGAUCUAGACUUGAACAUUCUUGAAAAUGACGCCGGAGAUAUAGAUUUCUCCCUUUUCAUACUACUGUGACUAUGACUAACAGUGCUAUUACUAUCUUCUCCUUUAGGUGUUUUAGGAGAGUCACCCUUCUUAUUUUUACUUU